GUGGUGCAUGUGUUGUUGGGACGGUUUUGACGAACUGACGCUAAAGGGGGGGAGGGGAGCGGGGGAAGAAAUGGCCUGUGGAUCUUCUCUGUGUGGGGACAGCGAGGACAGUCCAGUGAGAGGCUCAAAGUGCUAACAAGAAGUUGUAGUGCCACGUGACUCAGACCUCCAACCGUGCUACCAGUCGAGGCGCCAGAGGACACAGGACACAGGGCAGGACCUGCUGCUGAUGUAGCUGCUCACGAGCAGCUCAGCCCGUCGGAGCAGCUGACGGCCACACCGGCUGCCGAGGCCGUCUGCACUGGUCUGCCCACCGUACCGGAGACGGGGUCGCACCCGGCACCGUUCCCUGACACCGGUGGCUCGCUGACGGCUGCGGCGACGCAGCCGACGGGAGGGUCCUCGACGGGGCCCGGCACGAAGGAUCUGCCCGCGAUGCCUCUGCCAUCUGAGCCAGCUCUUCCGAAGUCUGUGCCUGCAUCGGCUACGGAGAUGGCUCCGCGAAGAUCAUCUCGCGUGCGGAAACAAACUGAGUUUUUCCAGGCGUAACGUGUGUUUUCGUUAUCUAAACUUAUUUGUUAAAGGGAGGAGAGUGUAUUGUACGGUGGAUUGGUGUUAACUGUUACGUUUCACCGAUCUCCGUAGGCCCUGACCGUACAUAUUACCGUAGCUGCGUUUAUGAUACGGGCCCCACCAUACGGCUGCGUCUGCGCAUGCGGGAGCCGGGAGGGUAGGCUGACCCGCAUAUUGCCUGAGGCUCAAUGUGGACGAGCGUGUCGUGUGGACUGGUCUGUGGCAGUGACUGACUGGCGAGCGACCAAUACAGGUUGACCUCUGA